rnacentral:rRNA from 1 species
GAUGAACGCUGGCGGCGUGCCUAAUACAUGCAAGUCGAGCGAAUGAUGAGGAGCUUGCUCCUCUGAUUUAGCGGCGGACGGGUGAGUAACACGUGGGUAAUCUGCCUGUAAGACGGGGAUAACUCCGGGAAACCGGGGCUAAUACCGGAUAACAAGAGGAAAUGCAUAUUUCCUUUUUGAAAGUCGGUUUACGCUGACACUUACAGAUGAGCCCGCGGCGCAUUAGCUAGUUGGUGAGGUAAUGGCUCACCAAGGCGACGAUGCGUAGCCGACCUGGGGGGGUGGUCGGCCACACUGGGACUGAGACACGGCCCAGACUCCUACGGGAGGCAGCAGUAGGGAAUCUUCGGCAAUGGGCGAAAGCCUGACCGAGCAACGCCGCGUGAGCGAUGAAGGCCUUCGGGUCGUAAAGCUCUGUUGUUAGGGAAGAACAAGUAUGAGAGUAACUGCUCGUACCUUGACGGUACCUAACCAGAAAGCCACGGCUAACUACGUGCCAGCCGCCGCAGUAACAC